rnacentral:rRNA from 1 species
UACGGAGGGUGCUAGCGUUGUUCGGAAUUACUGGGCGUAAAGCGCACGUAGGCGGUUUGUCGCGUCUGCUGUGAAAUCCCGAGGCUCAACCUCGGGUCUGCAGUGGGUACGGGCAGACUAGAGUGUGGUAGGGGAGAUUGGAAUUCCUGGUGUAGCGGUGGAAUGCGCAGAUAUCAGGAGGAACACCGAUGGCGAAGGCAGAUCUCUGGGCCAUUACUGACGCUGAGGAGCGAAAGCAUGGGGAGCGAACAGG